ACACCAACUAGUGCAAACCAACCUGAUGUAUUGGUGUGUGUCGCGUCAGUCUCAGCAAAAUAGUCUUGCAUCAACAACCAGAGCUCAGUACGUCAUAGUUAUUUUUCUUCUCUGUUUUUGGAAGCUAGUGCAAUGAGUAUAUUAUAUACAUAUAUUUGCAGUAUAUUAUAUUUUCAUUGAUCCACUUAGUUAAGUUUAACUAUAACGAAGCAAAAUGAUGUGUAAAACCAAGUAAUUGCUUUUAAAUCUAAGUAAAAAAUAUACAAUUUAAAUGAUAAUUAUUAAAAAGAUACAUGCAUGCAUAUAUACGUUAAGAACAUAAAUAUAUAUAGGAUAUAAAAUUUUAAUCUCUUUGUCAACUUAAUUGCGGCCCUGAAAAGGGCCUCUUGUUGAUUGGUAUAUAUGUAUUUAUCUAAGCAUACAAUUUUAAUCUCUUUGUUAAUUAAUUGGCGGCCCUGAAAAGGGCCUUUGGAUAAAUCAUAUUACUUGCCUGCAAAUAAAUAAGUUUAUAUUUGUAUAAAAGAC